AAGUUUCUGACCUAUCAGCUUUCGACGGUAGUGUAUUGGACUACCGUGGCAGUGACGGGUAACGGGGAAUUAGGGUUCGAUUCCGGAGAGGGAGCCUGAGAAACGGCUACCACAUCUAAGGAAGGCAGCAGGCGCGCAAAUUACCCAAUCCUGACUCAGGGAGGUAGUGACAAGAAAUAACAACACUGGAAAUUUUAUUUCUAGUGAUUGGAAUGAUGGGAAUUUAAACCCCUUUCAGAGUAACAAUUGGAGGGCAAGUCUGGUGCCAGCAGCCGCGGUAAUUCCAGCUCCAAUAGCGUAUAUUAAAGUUGUUGCAGUUAAAAAGCUCGUAGUUGGAUGUCUGCUGGAAGCAAUCAGUCCGCCCUAUUUGUAGGGUGUGCACUUGAUGAAUUCUGGCAUCUAUGUCCCAAUAAUAUGAUGGUGUAUACCCUGUGUACACCCAUCUAUAUUGGGAUAAUACCGUUACUUUGAGAAAAUUAGAGUGUUUGAAGCAGGCUAAUUGCCUUGAAUACUGCAGCAUGGAAUAACAAUAUAGGAUUUCGGUUCUAUUUUGUUGGUUUCUAGGACUGAAAUAAUGAUUAAUAGGGACAGUUGGGGGCAUUCGUAUUUAACUGUCAGAGGUGAAAUUCUUAGAUUUGUUAAAGACGAACUACUGCGAAAGCAUUUGCCAAAGAUGUUUUCAUUAAUCAAGAACGAAAGUUAGGGGCUCGAAGACGAUCAGAUACCGUCGUAGUCUUAACCAUAAACUAUGCCGACUAGAGAUAGGAAAAUGUCAUUUUUCUG
rnacentral:rRNA from 1 species